rnacentral:rRNA from 1 species
UACGUAGGGUGCAAGCGUUAAUCGGAAUUACUGGGCGUACAGCGCGCGCAGGCGGUUGCCGACGUGCCGUGUGACAAGCGGGGGCUCAACCCCCGAGGGCCACGGUAAACGGGGCGACUGGAGGGAGGGAGAGGGAUGUGGAAUGCCCGGUGGAGCGGUGAAAUGCGUUGAUAUCGAUAGGAACUCCGGUGGCGAAGGCGGCAUACUGGAUCACUUCUGACGCUGAGGCGCGAAAGCCAGGGGAGCAAACGGG